rnacentral:rRNA from 1 species
UACGUAGGGUGCGAGCGUUGUCCGGAAUUAUUGGGCGUAAAGAGCUCGUAGGCGGUUUGUCGCGUCGGCCGUGAAAACUUGGGGCUUAACUCCAAGCUUGCGGUCGAUACGGGCAGACUUGAGUUCGGCAGGGGAGACUGGAAUUCCUGGUGUAGCGGUGAAAUGCGCAGAUAUCAGGAGGAACACCGGUGGCGAAGGCGGGUCUCUGGGCCGAUACUGACGCUGAGGAGCGAAAGCGUGGGGAGCGAACAGG